rnacentral:piRNA from 1 species
UGUAUAAUUUCAGUAGUUCCACAGAUGGAC